UACGUAGGGUGCAAGCGUUGUCCGGAAUUAUUGGGCGUACAGAGCUCGUAGGCGGUUCGUCGCGUCGGCUGUGAAAACCCGGAGCUCAACUCCGGGCCUGCAGUCGAUACGGGCGGACUUGAGUGUUGCAGGGGAGACUGGAAUUCCUGGUGUAGCGGUGAAAUGCGCAGAUAUCAGGAGGAACACCAAUAGCGAAGGCAGCUCGCUGGGACGUAACUGACACUGAGGCGCGAAAGCGUGGGGAGCGAACAGG
rnacentral:rRNA from 1 species